rnacentral:rRNA from 1 species
CAGUCGCCACGGGAAUACGAAGGGUGCAAGCGUUACUCGGAAUUACUGGGCGUAAAGCGUGCGUAGGUGGUGGUUUAAGUCCGUUGUGAAAGCCCUGGCUCAACCUGGGAAUUGCAGUGGAUACUGGGUCACUAGAGUGUGGUAGAGGAUAGUGGAAUUUCCGGUGUAGCAGUGAAAUGCGUAGAGAUCGGAAGGAACAUCUGUGGCGAAGGCGACUAUCUGGGCCAACACUGACACUGAGGCACGAAAGCGUGUGGAGCAAACAGGAUUAGAUACCCGUGUAGUCCCUGUCUCUUAUACA